rnacentral:rRNA from 1 species
AGAGUUUGAUCCUGGCUCAGGAUGAACGCUGGCGGCGUGCUUAACACAUGCAAGUCGAGCGAAGCACUUCGUUUUGAAUCUUCGGAGGAAGAACGGAAUGACUGAGCGGCGGACGGGUGAGUAACGCGUGGGCAACCUACCUCAUACAGGGGGAUAACAGUUAGAAAUGACUGCUAAUACCGCAUAAGACCGCGGUACCGCAUGGUACAGCGGUAAAAACUCCGGUGGUAUGAGAUGGGCCCGCGUCUGAUUAACUAGUUGGUGAGGCAACGGCCCACCAAGGCGACGAUCAGUAGCCGACCUGAGAGGGUGACCGGCCACAUUGGGACUGAGACACGGCCCAAACUCCUACGGGAGGCAGCAGUGGGGAAUCUUCCACAAUGGACGCAAGUCUGAUGGAGCAACGCCGCGUGAGUGAAGAAGGGUUUCGGCUCGUAAAGCUCUGUUGGUAGUGAAGAAAGAUAGAGGUAGUAACUGGCCUUUAUUUGACGGUAAUUACCUAGAAAGUCACGGCUAACUACGUGCCAGCAGCCGCGGU